GACGAACGCUGGCGGCGUGCUUAACACAUGCAAGUCGAGCGGUAAGGCCCUUUCGGGGGUACACGAGCGGCGAACGGGUGAGUAACACGUGGGUGACCUGCCCUUAGCUCUGGGAUAAGCCUGGGAAACUGGGUCUAAUACCGGAUAUGACUCCAUGACGCAUGUUGUGGGGUGGAAAGCCUUGUGCGGCUAGGGAUGGGCCCGCGGCCUAUCAGCUUGUUGGUGGGGUGAUGGCCUACCAAGGCGACGACGGGUAGCCGGCCUGAGAGGGCGACCGGCCACACUGGGACUGAGACACGGCCCAGACUCCUACGGGAGGCAGCAGUGGGGGAUCUUGCGCAAUGGGCGAAAGCCUGACGCAGCGACGCCGCGUGGGGAUGACGGCCU
rnacentral:rRNA from 1 species